CGAAUCGAAGCCCCAGUAAACGGCGGCCGUAACUAUAACGGUCCUAAGGUAGCGAAAUUCCUUGUCGGGUAAGUUCCGACCCGCACGAAAGGCGUAACGAUUUGGGCACUGUCUCAACGAGAGACUCGGUGAAAUCAUAGUACCUGUGAAGAUGCAGGUUACCCGCGACAGGACGGAAAGACCCCGUGGAGCUUUACUGUAGCCUGAUAUUGAAAUUCGGCACAGCUUGUACAGGAUAGGUAGGAGCCUUUGAAACGUGAGCGCUAGCUUACGUGGAGGCGCUGGUGGGAUACUACCCUAGCUGUGUUGGCUUUCUAACCCGC
rnacentral:rRNA from 1 species